GCAGAAUCAACAUUGCAUUUGAAGGUUCCCGCUGGCGGUGGUGACCAUAAACCGAGAGCAUUCUGUCGUAAACGAGGAAGCAACUCGACGCGACAAUGAACCGCAUGCGAAGCAUGCCAGUCAUGCCUAAAUCGAGUGGCAAAAGUGAGGAUUUGAGGGUCAUCCAUAACAACAUUCUUCCAAAGAGCUAAAUUUCGAAAAUACCACAAACUCCACAUUAUUAUAGCAACAGUUUCCAUAGCACCACCAUCGGAGCCAUGGCGGAGAGCCACCUGACAAUUGAUUUCCCCCAACCCAACCCACCACACCGCACACAAUCAGUCAGCACCAAACAGCCCCUUUCGGCUAAACGACAGUGAGUUGGCAAAAAACUACAGAGUCAAUGCCAAACAAAGUCCUUAACUUUCAGUGGGAAGGUAGAAUUCCAGAGUUUAAGCCAUGGCCCAUCAAUUGCAGCAUAACGGCCACUCUCAACCAUAUCAAAAGCCAAACGAUAAGCAGACUUGACCAUAUAAAUACCAUGCUUCUCAUCAUGCCAAAUUAACCUGUCACUAGUAGGAAACAAACUGACCGGAAUUCGAAGAAUACGACUUACGUUAGAUGGCACCAUCAAACCGUCAACAAGAGGAACAUACCAAGCAGAAUCGGAUGGUUGAAUGUCCCUCACACGCAAGGAUUCCAUACUAGACAAAGGACUCGAUGCCACGUAAAAGUUCGCAUCAUCAUCAAGCUAAGGAUCAUGAUAAACAGAGAUAUCAUUACCGUCACCCAAGCGCCA
rnacentral:lncRNA from 1 species